UGGAAGAAUUGGGAUUUGGGAGGGCUGUACAAGCACUUGGAGAAGGGAAGGGACGAGACAUGAAGGCUUCCCUGGACACAAAGAGAUUCUGAGGGAGAAGACUGAGGCCUGCUGAGCCCACCCUGGCACUCUGGAGGGUCUGGGAGAGCUCCAGCCCCACUGCAGCUGAGCCCCCCGGGCAGCCCCAUGGACUCUCCCCACCUCCUGCACUUGGGUUUCCUGCUCCUGGCUCUUGCUGCUCCCCGUCCAAGUGAGUCUAGGUGGUUCCCAGAAACUUUCUGGUUCACCUCACUGCUUCUCCUGCACUUCCAUAGCUCAAAACCUCUGAACCGUUAGGAGAAAGCUCAGCUGUGCUUAAAACCAAGACCACAAAACCUCUAAGGUAUUGCCAUGCCCACUGUUGGCCCUGCUGAGGGGAGCACAAUUGUGACAGUCUACCACUGUAAGGACUACAAGAGCUGCACAUGCAAGUCUAGGGAAAAUAAUUUUAAAAACUUUACAAUAAUCGCUGAAACACAAAGCAAGACGUUUUCAGAUGUACUAAUUGAGCUGGUGACCAACGAAACACACAUGACUGUUUGCUUUGAGCAAAAAAAUUGCUGUCUUGAAGGAAUUUAUGGCGUCUUCUGGCAGAAAGCUGGGGGAGCAGGACUCUCCUGUGGCAUUCUGAAUUGUGGAGAAAAUGGAAGAGGUAACAUCAAUACUGAGGAGAAGAAUAUUUGCUGUGAAGCAGAGACAAAUAUCUGGAGACACAACCCUACCCUGAGGUGCUACACUCAAAAGUCACAUUCAAAACUCAUCACACUGCCAGUCGAGUCUCCUGGUAAUCCUGAACUUCUCACCAGCAGCAAAAAGACCAGCAUUGGCAUCUUGCUCUCAUUCCUGUUUGUUGGGGUUUGCGCAGGAUGUGCCGCCACGUAUUACUUCCUGCGGCGGCGGCAUGGCCAAGCUCUUAGUCAAUACAGACAGACUUCUAAUGAAGGAAACCUCGAACAUCUUUGAUAACCAUCUGCACGAGAGAAAACCUCUUUGCCAGCAGCAUCCUCCUCCUUUCUUACGAUGUCCAGCCACCAGCUGAACACAGACUGAUUUUCCAUGAGAACUCCUGCUCAUGUAUUCACAAAAACUCUCUUUUUUACAAAUGUACCUUCACCACAUCCACACCUUCCCCGAGCACUGUGACUCUCAUCCAGCUCCAGGCCUUUGGGAGCAGCACAGGCAGCAGCAGGAGCCCCCAUCCUCUCCUGGUGUUGGCUGCAGACAGCAGGAGCCCCAGGGAGUGUGGCUGACUCAGCAGCACAGGCUGGAACCAGCUGAAUUCUCUGUGCCACUGUGUUGUGAGGUGCCUCAGGGAGGCAAAGACUUCGUUUCAGAAAUGUGUUUGUCUACGUGAGAGGCGUGGCUGGAAGCCAGGCUACCCUGAAUUUUGACCUCCUGCUUCGAAGGAUGGGCAGUGUGAGCCCUGGAUGAAGUUACAACACCCCUGACCUCUUGGGAGGAGUGGCCCAGGAGUUCUGAUUGGGUUUGAGUCCCUGGGGGUUUCUCCCUUGUGUUUCUAGUGGUCCCUAACCCUAAACU